AAGUCGUAACAAGGUAACCGUAGGUGAACCUGCGGUUGGAUCAUUACAAAAAAAUCUUAAUGAGGAUGUGUUUUCGAGUUCAUCGGGGUUUUACAACUCUGGUGGCUUGCCUCACAUUCUUUUUACCUUUUGUGCACUCUGUCACUGUAUUUUCAGGAUUUAAUUUUCCUCCGCAAGGAGGUUUGCUUCCUGUCCAUUAUUUAAGACACCUAAUCUUCUUUAUAAUCUCCAACAAUCUUUUUCUUCGGCGUCAAACCUAAAGAAAAAACCACAAAAAAAAAACAACUUUUGACAACGGAUCUCUAGGCUCUC
rnacentral:misc_RNA from 1 species